rnacentral:sRNA from 1 species
UAGUAUGGCUGGGGAAAAACGAUGUGGCCGUUGUGGAUGUUCCUAAACCCAAGAUUAUCGAGGAUACAGAUGCAAUUUUGAAAGUUACCGGAACGACAAUUUGCGGGAGCGAUUUGCAUCUCUAUCACGGUUCCGUUGUUGAAAUGCAAAAGGGAGAUAUCAUGGGCCAUGAAUUCUGCGGAGAAGUAGAAUCCGUAGGCGUGAGCGUCAAAAAUCUGAAAAAGGGCGAUCGUGUCGUCGCAUCUUUCCAAAUCGCCUGCGGUGAUUGUAAAUACUGCAAGCAGAAGCUCUCCUCGCAAUGCGAGCGCACAAAUGCUAGUCAGUUGGAAAAU